rnacentral:sRNA from 2 species
UCCUAAACCUUGCCAAAUCAACCCUAAGAAAAAUUUGGGAAAGUCGGGAACGGGGGAACCGAUAUCAGGGGCUAAUCUCUAUGGUGCGUAUUCUAGAGAAGAACAUCUCUCAGUUCUAGCCCGUCAGCUAACCUCGUCGGCAUUGAGAGGAGACGC